AUUGAACGCUGGCGGCAUGCCUUACACAUGCAAGUCGAACAGUAACAGGUCUUCGGAUGCUGACGAGUGGCGAACGGGUGAGUAAUACAUCGGAACGUGCCUAGUAGUGGGGGAUAACUACUCGAAAGAGUGGCUAAUACCGCAUGAGAUCUACGGAUGAAAGCAGGGGAUCGCAAGACCUUGUGCUACUAGAGCGGCCGAUGGCAGAUUAGGUAGUUGGUGGGAUAAAAGCUUACCAAGCCGACGAUCUGUAGCUGGUCUGAGAGGACGAUCAGCCACACUGGGACUGAGAAACGGCCCAGACUCCUACGGGAGGCAGCAGUGGGGAAUUUUGGACAAUGGGCGCAAGCCUGAUCCAGCAAUGCCGCGUGCAGGAUGAAGGCCUUCGGGUUGUAAACUGCUUUUGUACGGAACGAAAAGCCCCGGGUUAAUACCCUGGGGUCAUGACGGUACCGUAAGAAUAAGCACCGGCCAACUACGUGCCAGCAGCCGCCGUAA
rnacentral:rRNA from 1 species